rnacentral:rRNA from 1 species
UACGGAGGGAGCUAGCGUUGUUCGGAAUUACUGGGCGUAAAGCGCGCGUAGGCGGCUUUUGUAAGUUAGAGGUGAAAGCCCGGGGCUCAACUCCGGAACUGCCUUUAAGACUGCAUCGCUUGAAUCCGGGAGAGGUGAGUGGAAUUCCGAGUGUAGAGGUGAAAUUCGUAGAUAUUCGGAAGAACACCAGUGGCGAAGGCGGCUCACUGGACCGGCAUUGACGCUGAGGUGCGAAAGCGUGGGGAGCAAACAGG